rnacentral:rRNA from 1 species
UAGGGAAUAUUGGUUAAUGGGCGAAAGCCUGACCCAGCAACGCCGCGUGCGCGAUGAAGGCCUUCGGGUUGUAAAGCGCUUUUAAGUGGGAUGAGGAAGGACAGUACCACUAGAAUAAGUCUCGGCUAACUACGUGCCAGCAGCCGCGGUAACACGUAGGAGACGAGCGUUAUCCGGAUUUACUGGGUGUAAAGCGCGUGCAGGCGGUUUGGAAAGUUGGAUGUGAAAGCUCCUGGCUUAACUGGGAGAGGUCGUUCAAAACUACCAGACUAGAGUACAGCAGAGGGGAGUGGAAUUCCGAGUGUAGCGGUAAAAUGCAUAGAUAUUCGGAAGAACACCAGUGGCGAAGGCGGCUCCCUGGGCUGAAACUGACGCUCAGACGCGAAAGCUAGGGUAGCGAACGGG